CUGAAUGAAGGGGAGAGCCGGGACGAUUGAAACGCGGGACGGAUGAAACAUUCCAGUUUUCUCUGAGUGCAAUGAUGAUAGGCAGACUUCCUUAGGUAAAACCAGGUGAUAAAGAAACACAGA